rnacentral:lncRNA from 1 species
CCCUGUGGGCACAGACAGACCCACCGCACCAGUUUUACAGUAUUUUCUGUAGCAGAUUUAUCCAAGUUCUUUCUGAAUGUUAGUGAGGGCUCCAGUUUCUUGCUGUUCCAACUUGUGCUAUGAAGGAGAGUCUUGCAAAGAAAUCUUGAAAAAUGGUGCAAUUCCACAGAUGGAAUAAUUCUUGGCAUUAGCCAUGGUAGGUAAAGGUGCACACUUUUAGAACAAAGAGUUCUAAAAGAAAAAGACAACGAGUUCUGCGAGAGAGGAGAGUCCUUGGCCACAUCUCCCAGGGGAUCUGCCAGGGCAUCUGCCUUGCCCACAUUCUCAUCAGUGGUGGUCGUACCCAGUCAGUCUGAUGGAGACAAAUGCCACAUAAGCAACUGUACUUUUGUGUGGGUUUGUUGGGAGGUGGAAUGUCUCUGACAUUUCUGACCAAUGUGAUGAUUCCCUUUUCAAAAGCAACACUUUCUCCUUUGUCCUAGUAAGAAAAUUGAGUCAUGAGGUUGGAGUAGCCCUAGUAUCCCUAGGAUAUCCCUAGGAGGGAUAGUAAUUUUUCUUGUGACUUCUGAAACUUGUGUCACAGAAAAGCAAUUCCAACCCCAAUGUUAUGAAAGUGUUUACUGUGAGUUUUGAUGUCUGGGAUUUCCUCUUCGAACAAAAACUACAUGUAAUCAGUUCCUUCAAUAUGAUGUGGCCAAACAAAAAUCAGACUGUACUGAGGUUAAAAGAAAUCCAGAAUAGGUCACCUGGGACUAGAGGAAGGG